rnacentral:rRNA from 1 species
AGCUCCAAUAGCGUAUACUAAAGUUGCUGCAGUUAAAAAGCUCGUAGUUGGAUCUUGGGAGCGGGCGGGCGGUCCGCCGCGAGGCGAGUCACCGCCCGUCCCCGCCCCUUGCCUCUCGGCGCCCCCUCGAUGCUCUUAGCUGAGUGUCCCGCGGGGCCCGAAGCGUUUACUUUGAAAAAAUUAGAGUGUUCAAAGCAGGCCCGAGCCGCCUGGAUACCGCAGCUAGGAAUAAUGGAAUAGGACCGCGGUUCUAUUUUGUUGGUUUUCGGAACUGAGGCCAUGAUUAAGAGGGACGGCCGGGGGCAUUCGUAUUGCGCCGCUAGAGGUGAAAUUCUUGGACCGGCGCAAGACGGACCAGAGCGAAAGCAUUUGCCAAGAAUGUUUUCA